AUUGAACGCUGGCGGCAGGCCUAACACAUGCAAGUCGAACGAGUGGCGGACGGGUGAGUAAUGUCUGGGAAACUGCCUGCUGGAGGGGGAUAACUACUGGAAACGGUAGCUAAUACCGCAUACCAUCGGAUGUGCCCAGAUGGGAUUAGCUAGUAGGUGGGGUAAAGGCUCACCUAGGCGACGAUCCCUAGCUGGUCUGAGAGGAGGACCAGCCACACUGGAACUGUGACACGGGCCAGACUCCGACGUGAGUAAGCAGUGGGGAAGAUUGCACAAGGGGGGAAAGCCUGAUGCAGCCAUGCCGCGUGUAUGAAGAAGGCCUUCGGGUUGUAAAGUACUUUCCGCGGGGAGGCGUUACCCGCAGAAGAAGCACCGGCUAACUCCGUGCCAGCAGCCGCGGUAAUAC
rnacentral:rRNA from 1 species